CCUACGGGGCGCAGCAGUGGGGAAUAUUGGACAAUGGGCGAAAGCCUGAUCCAGCCAUGCCGCGUGUGGGAAGAAGGCCUUCGGGUUGUAAAGCACUCUCAGUGGGGAAGAAAGCCUUGGGGCUAAUACCCUCGAGGAAGGACAUCACCCACAGAAGAAGCACCGGCUAACUCCGUGCCAGCAGCCGCGGUAAUACGGAGGGUGCGAGCGUUAAUCGGAAUUACUGGGCGUAAAGCGCGCGUAGGCGGUCUGAUAAGCCGGUUGUGAAAGCCCCGGGCUCAACCUGGGAACGGCAUCCGGAACUGUCAGGCUAGAGUGCAGGAGAGGAAGGUAGAAUUCCCGGUGUAGCGGUGAAAUGCGUAGAGAUCGGGAGGAAUACCAGUGGCGAAGGCGGUCUUCUGGACUGACACUGACGCUGAGGUGCGAAAGCGUGGGUAGCAAACAGGAUUAGAUACCCGGGUAGUC
rnacentral:rRNA from 1 species